rnacentral:rRNA from 1 species
GCUACACAUGCAGUCGAGCGGAACGAUGGUAGCUUGCUACCAGGCGUCGAGCGGCGGACGGGUGAGUAAUACUUAGGAAUCUACCUAGUAGUGGGGGAUAGCACGGGGAAACUCGUAUUAAUACCGCAUACGACCUACGGGAGAAAGGGGGCAGUUUACUGCUCUCGCUAUUAGAUGAGCCUAAGUCGGAUUAGCUAGAUGGUGGGGUAAAGGCCUACCAUGGCGACGAUCUGUAGCUGGUCUGAGAGGAUGAUCAGCCACACCGGGACUGAGACACGGCCCGGACUCCUACGGGAGGCAGCAGUGGGGAAUAUUGGACAAUGGNGGAAACCCUGAUCCAGCCAUGCCGCGUGUGUGAAGAAGGCCUUUUGGUUGUNAAGCACUUUAAGCAGUGAAGAAGACUCUUCGGUUAAUACCCGGAGACGAUGAC